rnacentral:rRNA from 1 species
GUGCCAGCAGCCGCGGUAAUACGGAGGGUGCAAGCGUUAAUCGGAAUUACUGGGCGUAGGAAGCGUACGCAGGUGGUUAAUUAAGUUCAGAUGGUGAAAUGGGCCCUAAACUUAACUUAGGAACUGCAUUUGAAACUGAUUAGCUAGAGUUUUGUAGAGGGGGGUAGAAUUCCAGGUGUAGCGGUGAAAUGCGUAGAGAUCUGGAGGAAUACCAGUGGCGAAGGCGACCCCCUGGACCAAAGACUGACACUCAUGUACGAAAGCUUCCGUGGGGAGCGGAAACAGGAUUAGAUACCCUGGGGUAGUCCAUGGGCUGUAAACAAUGUCAAUUUGAAGGUUGUAGCCUUGAGUUAUAGCUUUCGUAGCUAACGCGUUAAGGAUUGACCGCCUGGGGAGUACGGCCGCAAGGUUAAGGGAACUCAAAUGAAUUGACGGGGGCCCGCACAAGCGGUGGAGCAUGUCCGGUAAGGUUUAAUUCGAUGCAACGCGAAAAACCUUACCUAUUCUUGACAUCCAAAGAAUAAAACAGAAAUGUUUUAGUGCCUUAGGGAACUUGGGUUUCCGAGACAGGUGCUGCAUGGCUGUCGUCAGCUCGUGUUGUGAAAUGUUGGGUUAAGUCCCGCAACGAGCGCAACCCCUAUCCUUUGUUGCCAUCGAGCCUAAAGUCGGGAACUCAAAGGAGACUGCUGGUGAUAAACCGGGAGGAAGGUGGGGGGACGACGUCAAGUCAUCAUGGCCCUUACGAAUAGGGCGGUACACACGUGCUACAAUGGCAUAUACAAUUAAAGAGAAGCGAUCUUGCAAAAAGCUAGCAAAUCUCAUAAAGUAUGUCGUAGUCGGAUGGAGUCUGCACUCGACUCCAUGAGUCGGAAUCGCUAGUAUCGUAGAUCAGAUGCUACGGUGAAUACGUUCCCGGCCUUGCACACACCGCCCGUCAAGGGGGAAUUCGGGUUUAACCUGGCAGGACUAG